CGGUAACAGCUCAAAUUUGAAAUCUGGCCUCACGGUCCGAGUUGUAAUUUGUAGAGGAUGCUUCGAGCAUGGUCUGGCCUAAGUUCCUUGGAACAGGACGUCACAGAGGGUGAGAAUCCCGUACGUGGUC
rnacentral:rRNA from 1 species